rnacentral:rRNA from 1 species
UACGGAGGGGGCUAGCGUUAUUCGGAAUUACUGGGCGUAAAGCGCGCGUAGGCGGUUUUCCAAGUUGGAGGUGAAAUCCCGGAGCUUAACUCCGGAACUGCCUUCAAAACUGGAUGACUAGAGGUCGAGAGAGGUAAGGGGAAUUCCUAGUGUAGAGGUGAAAUUCGUAGAUAUUAGGAAGAACACCAGUGGCGAAGGCGCCUUACUGGCUCGUUUCUGACGCUCAGGCGCGAUAGCGUGGGGAUCAAACAGG